rnacentral:lncRNA from 12 species
AUGAGAAGAUAUGGUGGCAAUUCAGGGGGCUCCAUUCACCGAGUUCUGGAAGUUAAUGAUGCCUUAUUGAAGGAGCAUCGCAUGAAGCUCUUGGCAUAUGCCUGGUGGUGGUACGUAAUUUCAUAGUUCACAAACCAUAAUGAUUUCGUUUCCUCAGAGGUAUAUUCAUCUGUCUGUGUCUAGUAUUGAUCCUUUUCUACUAUGUACUAAUUCAGAGGUUAUAUAAUUAUUUAUACAAGCCAGAAAAUGACCGAGAAGGGAAAGCUAAUACAAGGUGGAUGAUUCAAGCAAUCUUCUCAUUGGUGUUGUUCUAUUGAGAAAUAAUUGACAUAUGUCACUAUGAAAGUUGAAGGCAAAUAGCAUGGUUAUUUGAUUUACAUAUGUUGUGAAAUGACCACAGUAGUUUCAACUAACGUG